AAUUUAAGCAUAUCACUAAGCGGAGGAAAAGAAACUAACCAGGAUUCCCCUAGUAACGGCGAGUGAAGAGGGAAAAGCCCAGCACCGAAGCCUGCGGCAGUUUUGCUGUUAGGCAAUGUGGUGUUUGGGUCGGUUCGUGGGAUUGCCACUCCACUCGAAGUCCAGCAUUGAGUAUGGUCCACUGGAUUUGGCCCAGAGAGGGUGAAAGGCCCGUACGGGUGGAGGUAUCAGACAUGUGAGGCAAUUCACCAGACCGGCCUUAGAGUCGGGUUGUUUGAGAAUGCAGCCCAAAGCGGGUGGUAAACUCCAUCCAAGGCUAAAUACUAGCACGAGUCCGAUAGCAAACAAGUACCGUGAGGGAAAGUUGAAAAGUACUUUGAAGAGAGAGUAAACAGUACGUGAAACCGCAUGCAGGUAAACGGGUGGCGUCAAGCUGCAAGCCUGGAGGAUUCAGCCGGCUAGUGUGUAGUGUAUGCGCCUGCGCAUCAAUCGGCCAGUGUAGGAUUGGGUAGUCUACUGGAAGACAGUGGGCCCUGCCGCAAGGUGGGGAUGUGCAUUCCGGGCGGAGGCCGGAGCACGCUAUCCGUCUAUUGGGCUGCCUAGCCGGUGCACUUUCUCUGUGGUGAACACCACGACCGGUGGAACUGCCAGUCUGUCAUUGUCAAGUCAUGGUGGGCGGGCUUUCGGGUCUGCCUGCUGUGAUCACGGGCGUACUCGGUGAACGGCGUUGGUGCAUCUUUACGGUGUGUCGACGUGUUAUCGGCUACUGGUCGCUUGAACGGGCCUGCCUGGCGCAUGUCAUAGCGUGUGUUGGGUGGUCUGGUGGGCUUUGAUGGUAAGAAUAACUGUGCAGGGCACCGGAGUUUUCGGCCUCAAAUGCAAUCUGCGUGCACGCUGUGAGUGUCCUGUAUGUAUGCGUCGUCGCGGGCUGCCUGUUGUUGGAUCUGAUUGUCGUGUCGCCUACGAAAAGUGGGCCCGGCGGUGGUUCGAUGCAGGUUGGUCUCGUUGGCGGUGUUUGCGAUGUAGAUUGUGGUGGGCCAGAUAGUCUGUGGUGUAGUGGUAGACGAGCUACCCGACCCGUCUUGAAACACGGACCAAGGAGUUUAACAUGUGUGCAAGUCGUAGGGUCCUACGAAACCCGAAGGCGCAAUGAAAGUAAAGCUCUGGCUUCCUUUCGGGGAUGUCUGGAGUGAGGUGAGAUCUUGUCGUUACUCGCAUCAGCUUGCCAGUGGUAGGCAUCAAGAGCGGCAGGCGCAUCACCGGCCCGUCCCAUAAUGUGGUCAUUGGAAGAGGCCGUGGCUGGGGCAACCUGGCUGUGGUACUCACAGUGCGUCAUCGGGGCGGAGCAUGAGCACACAUGUUAUGACCCGAAAGAUGGUGAACUAUGCUUGCGUAGGUUGAAGCCAGAGGAAACUCUGGUGGAGGACCGCAGCGAUUCUGACGUGCAAAUCGAUCGUCAAACGUGAGUAUAGGGGCGAAAGACUAAUCGAACCAUCUAGUAGCUGGUUCCCUCCGAAGUUUCCCUCAGGAUAGCUGGCACUCAUUCGCAAAAUCAGUUUUAUCCGGUAAAGCGAAUGAUUAGAGGUACUGGGUUCGAAACGAGCUCAACCUAUUCUCAAACUUUAAAUGGGUGAGAUGCCCGACUCGCCUAAUAGGAGUCGGGCGUUGAAUGUGCGAGUGCCAAGUGGGCCAUUUUUGGUAAGCAGAACUGGCGCUGUGGGAUGAACCAAACGCCCGGUUAAGGUGCCUAAUACGACGCUCAUGAGAUACCACAAAAGGUGUUGGUUAAUAUAGACAGCAGGACGGUGGCCAUGGAAGUCGGCAUCCGCUAAGGAGUGUGUAA
rnacentral:rRNA from 1 species